rnacentral:rRNA from 1 species
GGUAGCAUAAUCAUUAGCUUUAUAAUUAAAAGAUAGUAUGAAAGGUUAAACGAAAUAUUAUAUUUUUAAAACAUAAUUAAAUAUAAAAUUAAAAUAAAAGUAAAAACACUCUUAAAAAUAAGAAAGACGAUAAGACCCUAAUAAACUUAAUAUUAUUUAACUAGGGUGGUUGAUUAAUAAUAUCUUAAUUCAAAUAAUAAAAACUAAAAUAAAUCUAAUUAAAAUAGAAAUAGUUACUAUAGGGAUAACAGCGUAAUAUUUUUCUAAAGCUCUCAUAAAAAAAAAUGUUUACGACCUCGAUGUUGAAUUAAUAAUCUAAUUUUAAAAGAAAAAUUUUCUAAAAGAAGGUCUGUUCGACCUAUAAAAAAUUACGUGAUCUGAGU